rnacentral:sRNA from 1 species
GGGCUGAGGCGGGUGUCCCCUUCCUCCCUCAAUGCUCCAUGUGUGUCCCUCUCUAAGCUGCUUGCCCUGAGGACAACCACCCCCGAUAGAGGGUGGACCAUUCCUCCGUCAAGGGUAUAGGAGCAACUGCGCUCCCCUGCUACAACCUUCAAACAAGCUCUCAAAAGGGCUGAAGCAGAGGCAGGUCCAGUUAGGCUUUUUAAUUCUGUCAGGACCAUAUUU